GUCAAAACAGUUCACAGUUUGAGCACACCUGAUCUCCUCUGAGCUUGGAAGCUAAGUUGGAUUAGUACUGGAUGGGAGACCAAUGGGGGAUAACAGGUGGCAUUUGGCUUGACU
rnacentral:rRNA from 1 species